UCUGACUUGUUACAUCUUUACCCUGUUCUUUAGGCGGGCUCCUGACUUGUUGCUUCUUUACCCUGUUCUUCAGGCAGGCUCCUAGACUUCCUUUUUCUUCACCCUAUUCUUCAGGCGGGCUCCUACACUUGCAAUUUCUUCAUCCUGUUCUUUAGGCGGGCUCCUGGACUUGUAAUUUCUUCACUCUGUUCUUCAGGUGGGCUCCUAGACUUGUAAUUUCUUUACCCUGUUCUUCAAGCGGGCUCCUGGACUUCCAAUUUCUUCACCCCGUUCUUCAGGCGGGCUCCUAAACUUACAAUUUCUUCACCCUGUUCUUCAGGUGGGUUCCUGGACCUUCUUUUUCUGAUUUUCAAAUAUGUUCCUAAACUCAAAAUAAAAGGUGAAACAUAAAAAUAACAUCCCAUCUUCAGG
rnacentral:lncRNA from 1 species